UACGAGGGGGCUAGCGUUGCUCGGAAUCACUGGGCGUAAAGGGUGCGUAGGCGGGUCUUUAAGUCAGGGGUGAAAUCCUGGAGCUCAACUCCAGAACUGCCUUUGAUACUGAAGAUCUUGAGUGCGGGAGAGGUGAGUGGAACUGCGAGUGUAGAGGUGAAAUUCGUAGAUAUUCGCAAGAACACCAGUGGCGAAGGCGGCUCACUGGCCCGAUACUGACGCUGAGGCACGAAAGCGUGGGGAGCAAACAGGG
rnacentral:rRNA from 1 species